GGAAACGCUUCAGUGGGAAUUAUUCAUGACGAUGGUGCUACUUUCAACGGCGUACGCGGCACAGCACUUCAAGUAGCACUUCUCAUAGGAGCCUAUAAGGAUAAUGGCAAGUGGGGGGAAUGUCCUGAAAAUGAAGAGCAAUACCUGACAGCCAACUCGAGAGGCGGCCGCAAACCGUACCUGUCUGAUUGCAGCAGAGAGUCAGUUCGAGACUUCUAUUAUCGUGUCAACGACGGCAAACACAUUCUUUGCUGGAAUGACAAACCAAAGCCUGCUCUCCAGAAUAAUAUUGGUUUUCCCGUGGAAUUCUACAGACUCUUCGAUUGCGAUCAAUGCCAUGUUGCAGAACACUUAAAAAAUAAUACUGGCAAACCAAUAAAU